UACAGGGGGUGCAAACGUUGCUCGGAAUUAUUGGGCGUAAAGCGCGCGUAGGCGGCCACUUAAGUCGGAUGUGAAAGCCCCCUGGCUCAACUGGGGAAGUGCACCCGAAACUGAAUGGCUUGAAUACAAAAGAGGGUCGCGGAAUUCCCGGUGUAGAGGUGAAAUUCGUAGAUAUCGGGAGGAACACCGGUGGCGAAGGCGGCGACCUGGGUUGAUAUUGACGCUGAGGCGCGAAAGCGUUGGGGAGCAAACAGG
rnacentral:rRNA from 1 species